AAGGCAUGAUGAGGGCACUUUCUAAGCUUCUCCUUAAAUCUCUCCCAAUUCUUAUAAUAGAUUAUUCUUCUAAUUGACUAAAAGAAAUAAUAUCAUUUUUAUGUUU